CCCUAACACACACGCAACUGCAUCCCUAACAAAAACACACUACAUCCCUAACACACACACUGCAUCACUUGUGCACACAGACUAUAUCACCUGUGCACACACACUGCAUGCCCCACAUUGUCAGUCUAUAUCUGUGUCUGAUUAUGCCUGUUUCUGUCUGUCUGUUUGUGCAUGUCUCUGUCUUUAUAUAUCUCCCAGGUCUAAAACAAAAGUUUUAUAGUUGUG